UACGUAGGGCGCAAGCGUUAUCCGGAAUUAUUGGGCGUAAAGAGCUCGUAGGCGGUUUGUCGCGUCUGCCGUGAAAGUCCGGGGCUCAACUCCGGAUCUGCGGUGGGUACGGGCAGACUAGAGUGAUGUAGGGGAGACUGGAAUUCCUGGUGUAGCGGUGAAAUGCGCAGAUAUCAGGAGGAACACCAGUGGCGAAGGCGGUGCUCUGGGCCGGAACUGACGCUGAUGAGCGAAAGCGUGGGGAGCAAACAGG
rnacentral:rRNA from 1 species